UACGAGGGGGGCGAGCGUUGUUCGGAAUUAUUGGGCGUAAAGGGUGCGUAGGCGGUUUGGUAAGUCUGAUGUGAAAUCUAUGGGCUCAACUCAUAGUCUGCAUCGGAAACUGCCGGGCUUGAGUAUGGGAGAGGUGAGUGGAAUUCCUGGUGUAGCGGUGAAAUGCAUAGAUAUCAGGAGGAACACCCAUGGCGAAGGCAGCAAACUGGGCAUCAUCUGACGCUGAGGCGCGAAAGCGUGGGUAGCAAACAGG
rnacentral:rRNA from 1 species